UGCCGAAGGGUGACGAUGCGACGCCGCGUGAGCGAAGAAGGCCCUAGGGUUGUAAAGCUCUGUCAGGGGUUAAGAAAUGUAGAUAGGUUAAUACCCUGUUUAUUUGACAAAAGCCCCAAAGGAAGCCACGGCUAACUCUGUGCCAGCAGCCGCGGUAAUACAGAGGUGGCAAGCGUUGUUCGGUAUUAUUGGGCGUAAAGAGCACGUAGGUGGUUUUGUAAGUCAGAUGUGAAAGCCUUCUGUUCAAAGGAAGAACGGCAUCUGAAACUGCAAAUCUUGAGCGUAGGAGGGGAGAGUGGAACUUCUGGUGGAGCGGUGAAAUGCGUAGAUAUCAGAAGGAACGUCGGCGGCGAAAGCGACUCUCUGGCCUAUUACUGACACUGAGUGUGCGAAAGUUAGGGGAGCAAACGGGAUUAGAUACCCCGGUAGUCCUAACCGUAAACGAUGGGCACUAAGUAGAGGGGU
rnacentral:rRNA from 1 species